UACGAAGGUGGCAAGCGUUGUUCGGAUUCACUGGGCGUACAGGGAGCGUAGGCGGUUGGGUAAGCCCUCCGUGAAAUCUCCGGGCCUAACCCGGAAAGUGCAGAGGGGACUGCUCGGCUAGAGGAUGGGAGAGGAGCGCGGAAUUCCCGGUGUAGCGGUGAAAUGCGUUGAUAUCGGGAGGAACACCAGUGGCGAAGGCGGAUCUCUGGCCCGUUCCUGACGCUAAGGUGCGAAAGCUGGGGGAGCAAACCGGAUUAGAAACCCUAGUAGU
rnacentral:rRNA from 1 species